rnacentral:rRNA from 1 species
GUUAGUCCACGUUUCCGCGGGUUAUCUCCCCGUACGGGGUUGGUUGCACACGUGUUACUCACCCGUGCCCCGGUCGCCACCAGUGUAUCGCUACACCCCGCCGCCCCUCCACCUGCAAGUGUAAGCCCGUCCCUUAGAGUUUUGUACUGGCUCAGGAUGAACGCUAGCGACAGGCUUAACACAUGCAAGUCGAGGGGCAGCACGGUGUAGCAAUACACUGGUGGCGACCGGCGCACGGGUGAGUAACACGUGUGCAACCAACCCCGUACCGGGAGAUAACCCGCGGAAACGUGGACUAACAUCCCAUGAUACUCGAGAUCCGCAUGGCUCUAGAUUUAAAAUUCCGGUGGUACGGGACGGGCACGCGCGACAUUAGGUAGUUGGCGGGGUAACGGCCCACCAAGCCGACGAUGUCUAGGGGUUCUGAGAGGAAGGUCCCCCACACUGGAACUGAGACACGGUCCAGACUCCUACGGGAGGCAGCAGUGAGGAAUAUUGGUCAAUGGGCGAGAGCCUGAACCAGCCAAGUCGCGUGAGGGAAGAAUGGUCUAUGGCCUGUAAACCUCUUUUGUCAGGGAAGAAUAAGGAUGACGAGUCAUUCGAUGCCAGUACUUGACGAAUAAGCAUCGGCUAACUCCGUGCCAGCAGCCGCGGUAAUACGGGGGAUGCGAGCGUUAUCCGGAUUUAUUGGGUUUAAAGGGCGCGUAGGCGGGACGUCAAGUCAGCGGUAAAAGACUGCAGCUAAACUGUAGCACGCCGUUGAAACUGGCGCCCUGGAGACGAGACGAGGGAGGCGGAACAAGUGAAGUAGCGGUGAAAUGCAUAGAUAUCACUUGGAACCCCGAUAGCGAAGGCAGCUUCCCAGGCUCGUUCUGACGCUGAUGCGCGAGAGCGUGGGUAGCGAACAGGAUUAGAUACCCUGGUAGUCCACGCCGUAAACGAUGCUCACUGGAUCUUGGCGAUACACUGCCAGGGUUCAAGCGAAAGUAUUAAGUGAGCCACCUGGGGAGUACGUCGGCAACGAUGAAACUCAAAGGAAUUGACGGGGGCCCGCACAAGCGGAGGAACAUGUGGUUUAAUUCGAUGAUACGCGAGGAACCUUACCCGGGUUUAAAUGUAGAUUGCAUGAGGUGGAAACGCUUCUUCCCUUCGGGGCUAUUUACAAGGUGCUGCAUGGUUGUCGUCAGCUCGUGCCGUGAGGUGUCGGGUUAAGUCCCAUAACGAGCGCAACCCCUAUCGCCAGUUGCCAUCGGUUGAAGCCGGGCACUCUGUCGAGACUGCCACCGUAAGGUGCGAGGAAGGCGGGGAUGACGUCAAAUCAGCACGGCCCUUACACCCGGGGCGACACACGUGUUACAAUGGCCGGUACAGAGGGCAGCCACGGGGUGACCCGGAGCGAAUCUCUAAAGCCGGUCGUAGUUCGGACUGGAGUCUGCAACCCGACUCCACGAAGUUGGAUUCGCUAGUAAUCGCGCAUCAGCCAUGGCGCGGUGAAUACGUUCCCGGGCCUUGUACACACCGCCCGUCAAGCCAUGGAAGCCGGGAGUACCUGAAGAUCGUGACCGCGAGGAACGGGCUAGGGUAAUACCGGUAACUGGGGCUA